CAGGCAAGCAUACUGGAGUGGGUUUCCGUGCCCUCCUCCAGGGGAUAUUCCUGACCCAGGGAUUGAACCCGUGUCUCAUACAUCUGCAUUGGCACUACAUCCAGUAGUGGGUUCUUUACCACUAGCGUCACCCGGAAGCCUUUGGCUCACUACUGGGGCUCAAAUAUUUAUCACCCUUUCAUCAAGCUGAGAAGCAAGAGGUGAUCACUAGUGAAUGGGAGAUUAGGAAUGAGGAUAUAAGGUGAGAAAGAGCAGAAACCUCUGAGACGCAAGUGUGCUUGGAUUUCUAAAACUGUGCUGGCCACCUGCUCUGUCCUGGAGCAAAGUUGAGUUAGGCUGAUCGGGUGGUUGGAGGGGGAUAGAUCAAGGGCCUGCCCAGACCAAGCCCCUCCCCCUACAACUGCCAGAAUGGACCAGCCCAUGUGACAUCACAAUUCUAAGGGGUUGCCAAGUCACUGCUAGAGACAGACCCUCAUUUCUCCCCAGGGAGCUCUAGGAUGUGGAUGUGAGACAGGUGAGCAAGGAAGGCAGAUGGCGACAAGGAACAGCUCUAGCCCCAAGCCGAUGGGCACGGCUCAGGGGGACCCGGGAGAGGCAGGCACACUGCCAGGUCCUGAUGCUGGCAUCCGGGACACAAGUUCAGCCACUCAGCUGAAGAUGAAGCCCAAGAAGGUGCGCAAGAUCAAGGCACUCAUCAUUGACCUGGGCUCCCAAUACUGCAAGUGUGGCUACGCGGGUGAGCCAAGGCCCACCUACUUCAUCUCCUCCACGGUGGGCAAGCGCUACUCGGAGGCGGCUGACUCCGGUGACACCCGCAAGGAGACCUACGUGGGCCAUGAGCUGCUCAACAUGGAGGCGCCUCUGAAGCUGAUCAACCCGCUCAAAUAUGGCAUCGUGGUGGACUGGGACUGCAUCCAGAGCAUCUGGGAGUACAUCUUCCACACGGCCAUGAAGAUCCUCCCCGAGGAGCACGCUGUGCUGGUCUCUGACCCCCCGCUCAGCCCCACGAGCAACCGGGAGAAGUAUGCGGAGCUGCUGUUCGAGACCUUCGGCAUCCCUGCCAUGCACGUGACGUCCCAGUCGCUGCUGUCCAUCUACUCCUAUGGCAAGACCUCCGGGCUGGUGGUGGAGAGCGGGCACGGUGUCUCACAUGUGGUGCCCAUCUCUGAGGGCGACGUGCUGCCAGGCCUGACUAGUCGAGCCGACUACGCGGGCAGCGACCUCACCAACUAUCUGCUGCAGCUGCUCAACGAGGCCGGCCACAAGUUCACUGACGACCACCUGCACAUCAUCGAGCACAUCAAGAAGAAGUGCUGCUACUCGGCCCUCAAGCCCGAGGAGGAGCUCAGCCUGUGCCUGGAGGACCUGCGCGUGGACUACGAGCUCCCAGAUGGCAAGCUCAUCAGCAUCGGCCAGGAGCGCUUCCAGUGCGCCGAGAUGCUCUUCAAGCCCACCCUGGUAGGCAGCAACCAGCCCGGCCUCCCCGCGCUCACCGCCGCCUGCCUGAACCGCUGCCAGGAGGCGGGCUUCAGGGAGGAGAUGGCCGCCAACGUGCUGCUGUGCGGAGGCUGCACCAUGCUGGAUGGCUUCCCCGAGCGCUUCCAGAGGGAGCUGAGCCUCCUCUGUCCCGGGGACAGCCCUGCAGUGGCCGCGGCUCCCGAGAGGAAGACCUCCGUGUGGACCGGCGGCUCCAUCCUGGCAUCCCUGCAGGCCUUCCAGCAGCUCUGGUUCUGGAGGUUGGAAGUCCAAGAGCCAGGUGCCAGCAUGGCAGGCUUCCGGUGAAAAACUUCUUGCAGGUUGCAGACCCCUGACAUCCAGCUACAUUCUCACUUAGUGGAUGGGAUGAGAGGCGUCUCUGGGGCCUCUGCUGUUGAGGCACUAAUCCCAUCCAUGAAGGCCUUACCCUCCCAAAGGUCUCCCUCCCCUAAAGCAUGACUUGGGGCAUUAUGUUUUCAACAUAGGAAUUUGGGGGUUGGGGACUGGGAGGGUGGAAGCAAACAUUUAAACUACAGCAAUGAUUCUUAACGGUUAGCAACCUUUAAGCACUUAACCAAGCAUCUACUGUGGGUGAGACCCAGACUGGAGACAGAAAUGACCAGUGUGGCCCUUUCCUCAGGAUCACACACAGCUACUGGGGGCAGCCACGUUGAUAAGGAAACAAGGCCUGAGCUCGGUGUUCCUGGGGGUGGGAAGGUGGAGGUGUGGGUAUUGAAAAGCUGCAAAUGGAGAAAGAAGUGCUGGGUGUGGUGACCACUUGGUAGCUUUGGGGCUGAAGGAGAAGACAUCAAGACUUGCAAAAGACUUCAGCUGGUGAAUGACUGUCUGCCUAGAAGAGGGUAGUUCCUGCCCCUUCUCCUUCCCUCACCUCCAGAUGGGGGCGCAUGACUGGGGGCCUGUGAGCAGAGUCAGUGAAAUCAGCCAUUGGUGAGCUGUGGAAUCUGAUGGGCCAUCAAGUAUCCCUGAGCCACUUCUUACCUUAGAAAAAGAGUCCUGAUUUGGGGGCAUUCUGUGAGGCUACCUUUGUCCCUGGUCCUAUGCUAGGGACUGCAGUUUGGGGAAAGAACCAGACAUGGUCUUUAUCACCUAAUGCCCUGGCAUCUGGGCCUUCCCUGUUGCCUAGAAUUGGGUUUGUAGCCUGGAGUUGGAGUUCCUCUGGGACUGACAGGGCUUUGGUACUAUUCAGGGCUCUUGCCUGUGGAGAGAGCUUCAGACUGGAGGCUGAUUGUGCCAGUCGACACAGUUUAUUUGGCCUAACAGUGAAAAUAAUUUUUUUCUGGAGUGUGAAUUCUUUCAGUGGGACCUAUAUUCUUAUGUUGCCAAAGUCUCUACCUCUCUGAUGUCUUCAUACAUACCUGCUGCUUCAACAUAACUUUUGCUUUAUUGGCCAGCAUUCAUUUCUGUGGCUUGCAACCCAAGAACCUUGGCUCAAUAUUUCUUCUAAAAGCCUGAUGAGAUACAGAGAGGAAAGUGGAAGCUUAUAGAGGGGAAUGUAGUGUACCCCAAAUCACACAGGCAGUAAGUUAGUGCUGCAUGUAAAUGUUCUUCCACAUGCUGGUCUUGACAAUCGCUGAAAACAGUGUCUGUGUCUACCGCCCCACCUCCACAAUCUGUUCUUCCUCCAUUCUCAACAACCUCUGUCUCCACAGUCACAGAUUCAGUGCUGUGAGGUGAGGACCUCCUGUUCAUCUCCUCUAAAAACAUCGCUGUGGCAGGUGCUAUAAAAACAUGAAUCACUUAAGAGACUCUGAUAUGAACUUACUUAAGCCAACCACAGGCAUGACAGAUUUAAUUUUUAUAGAAAAAUAUGGGUCAACACAUUUCAGCUUAGGUGACCGACCAUGUGUGUUUAUCUCCUCUUCCACCUUAGCUUCAUUGAGGUGAUAGUAGAGAAAUAUAGUUGUAUAACCCACUACAAAUGAGGAUGGUAGAGGGACUGCAGGGAGCCCAAGAUCUGUACUUGAUUCUGGGAGGAGGAGAAUGGAUGCAGGGCAGAAAGGCUGCAGUCUGAAAUGUGCAGGUGCUCCCCACAGGGGAAGGCAACUUCCUGACCUGAAGGAUGAGAAGAGGUUUGAGACUUGGAAAUGCCAAGUUAGGGGAGGAAGUAUGCGUGACAGUCAGGUUAGGGGAGGAGAUGGUAACUAGUGGUCUUUAUUUGAGAGCACAGCUCCCCUCUCUCCCUCUGCAUAGGUAGAGGGGUGAGCCUGUAAGCGAUGUUUUGCAGACAAAAAAAUUGAAGAGUUCUCUAUGCGAUAGCAGUGCUAAUACAGGGAAGAGGAGGAGAGGACUGUAUGAAGAGCAGGUCGUGAACCUCACUUGUAGCCCGUUGUGGCCCCCCUAAAGCACGAGUCACACUCAGGUCUUGCUAACAUCCACCAGGUGGAACCAAUAGUUGAUGCCCUCCAUUUCCCCCCUCAUCUCUUACCUACAAUUCCCAGUUUCUAUAUGGGCAUCAGAUGUGACCCGGGGCUGACUCCCGACUCCAGCACCCAAAGCAGAGCAUAUGACCUAGGUUAAGCCAAUCAGACCAGCCCAUCUACCUGGCCAUGGUGGUUGGCUGGGUGUGAGCAUGUGACCUCAGCUGUCCAUCUGUCUGCGUCCCCACCCCACAGGGUGAGACACAGACCUUUUGCUUGGAAGGUUGACUUGAAAUUGGAGCAUAUGUGCUGCUGUGGCAAAAUUUAUUACCUUCCAGAAGGAAGCCAGCUUGAACCUGACCCACCAAGGAGUGUGGAACUCAGAGAAUCUCAGAGAAAGGGCUGGCUGUCCUGAAGCAAAGUGACCUCCUAGUGAAACCAUGCCCAGAGCACCCUCUGCCGUCAGGCCAUCAGACUGUUUCCACCAGCAUUCAUCCUCAUCCCUCAGGUGAGGACCCUGAAGCUUGGAGAGGUUAAGAAUCCUGCUCAACUUUACUCACCUGAGAGGAGGAAGAGCAAGAGGCUCAUAGAUAUAAAUAACACCCCUGGUGUAGAAGUAUAAGUAGAUUUUGUUCCAGCAAAACUCUAUUAACUGGCCAUGGUUUUGCCCAACAGCACUGGAUGUCAAGUUGUUUGGGUUUAAAGGUAAGCCCUUACUUUCACUUCUAAGACACACCAACAAAUAAAAGUCCUAUAAGGGGAAUUUUGGUCACAUUAUCUGAGUAAUAGUCUGAAUCCUUCACUUCAUUUGCCAGUGUAGAUGAAGCUAGGUGUAAGAGAAGAAAACACAAAAACAGCUGAGAAUAAGAAAGCAUCUGAUUCCCAAAUGAUUUAUUCCUAGCAUGAAUCCAGAAGAGAGGCUGCCUGGAGUAAGAACAAGCUAGGACUUGUGGCAAGUGUUAAAUUCCUCUCAAAGCCCUUGUUUGAUUAUAAAAGUAUUGAUAGUUAAAAAUGCAUUAAGUGUCAAAAAGGUAAUUCCAGCAUCAGAUUGCCACACAAUGAAAACCAAGGUAGUGGAGAAGGAAGUUCUCACCUUUUUAUGUGCUUCUGUUAUAAACUAAAUUCUAGAAAUUAAAAACAGAACAUUUGUAGGAAAAAAAAGUCCAAGGGGGUUCAAUUUCAAAUAGAUCAGAGAACUGAGACAAUUAUGUGUUAAAAAGCUGUCCACAUAUACAGCUGAAAAUAUCUUGGUCACUGGCAUGCAUUUUGGAUUAAGACAAUUACUUUAUUGACCAACUGUAUGUGUAUAAAUUGAGACCAAGUAAUUCAAGGUCUUCUACCUUCCAGAUGGAGUUGGAACAAGGGGUCAGCCUCAAUGUUGGCCACCUGGCAACAUUUUUCUAGUGAUCUAAGAAUUUGGAGCUUUGCAUGAGCUGACCACCAUCCUUUCUCCUCUGAAUGAUGUUUUACCAUCCAUUGUAAUCUCUGGUUGUGUGUUCAGAUUCCCAAGUAAAUCAGAUCCCUAAAGUUUUAACUCAAUGAAUUGGCAGCAACUCACAGGGUGAAUUUUAAGUAAUUGGGGAAGAGGAAGGUAAAGACAUGAGGAUAUUUUUGCAGCUUGUUCCUUUUCCUUCUGAAACCAAGAAGCAACUUUCUACUCACUCAGGUCUUGGGAGAAGUGGCUGGAUUCAGUCCUAACUUGUGGAUGUCUAAGACAUGAAGAAGUUGGACAUGGAAUUUUACCAUUUUUGGCCUUAUUUUCCUAAACUGAUGAAAUAGUAAUAAGAAACAUAAUAUGGAAAACAAUUUUUGGGGGCAGUUUCAGGGGAUCUUGGCAUUGGGCCGGGUCACUGGGCAUUGUGGUUUCUGAAGGGGCACCUACCAGAACAGUGUCUGCUCCUGUCUCCAAUGGGUCUUUUCCCUCUGCUCUUUUUUCUACCCUCUUUUAGCUAUCAAGGAAAACCUGGAUUUUCUCACUGUCUCAGUUCCUUUGUCAUGCUGUUUCUUAGCAAUCAAUUAGUAGCUUUCAAUAUUUAAAACUCCUGAAAAAUCAGAUUAAAUAUAGGCCAAGUAUUUCCCUAUUGUUAAGUUAGAUAUGCUAAUGUUGGUAAUUGUUUGCAUCUUUCACAACAGUGCAGUUUUUCUUAGUUUCAAAGCACCUUUGCACCUCACCUGUGGCGUUUGAUCCUUGUAAGCAGCCUAGAAAACAGCAUGGGGGAGUGGGUGUUGAACAGUAUUCUCGUUUUGUUGAUGAGAACAAUAAGACUCCAAGAGACAUUGGAUUUAACGAUGGUGCACAAAACAGUAUCUGGUGCAUUGGCGGGGGGACAAAGCUUUCCAAAUGCAAAGCAUAGUGAAAGCUAACAUGGCAAGCGCUCACCAUUCACUGAGCACCUGACUUCAGUACAGUCGAGUGAGUGAGCGCCCACCU